CAGUGCCACCCCAGUGCCAGCUGGCCCAUCCUCCCUGCAGCACCCCACUGCUCCCCACAUGCCCAUUUCACCAAGGUGCCAGCAGGCUGGGACACACCAGCACAGCUCGUGGCUGCCAGAUUCCACCCCAUCCCUCUGUCCUGUCCCCCAUCCCCAUGCCACACCUCAGGGGUGAUGGUGGCACCGCCAUGAUGCCUGUUCCCCCUCGGUGGCGCACGGAGCCAUGGGCGCGAGUGCUCCGUGAUACAUCAUUUACCCACGGACAGGUUUACUGACCCAUUUCCAUUCACACGGCUGCCAGUAUCUUAGCAACUGCAACAGUCCCCCAAGAACAGGCAUAUUGCCUGCUAUUAGUGACUGCUGCAACUGUGUCAAGGAAAUCCCAGCCAAAAGUCCUUGGAGGCUGGGAGAGUCCUUGGACGUGUCCAGACCUGCUCAGCCCGGCUCCUCCCAGGCACCAGUGGCGGCUGUGGGGGACGG